rnacentral:misc_RNA from 1 species
AUUGGUUGAGACCCAGCAACAAACUGCAAAAAUAGUGAAUUUUAUUAAACCAACAUUAUGCCUCACAAUCACCUGUUGAAAGAUGGUAUAAAGGAGUAAAGGACACGUCCCAGAAAAAAACAAAACCCAAAAAUUACUUGAUCCAAAUUUGGAAACCUAUUACAGAAAAUCAACUAAAUCAACUCAAUUGGACAGAGUCUAUACAGUCUUCCAAUAGCAUCACUUUCCUCAACUCAAAAGGAUUUAUCAAAUUAACAACACUAAAUGGAAGAAAAACAAUGUGGAGGAAAAGAUACCAAAAUGUGACUAAACCUCAAUCUCAAACUAGUUGGAAUUAGCUAUAUGAAUCGGUUUCCUCAUUUCCAACCAGUUUAGGGCUACAUAAUCAAAAUGGCUACUUUCCUCCAUUGUAUCUUAGAUUUUGCCCCUCCUUUUCUUAUUUCCUACCACUUUAGUAUGCUAAACCUUUGGUAUUGGAACAUUUGCUAAUCUACAGUGAACAGGGAAUAAACCAAAACUUAAAUCAAAUUAAAACUAACAUAAAAAACAAUAAGUGAACAGGCCAUCAUUCCUUGGACCAAAAAAAAGCAAUCAUUCAACUAAGCAAACAAGUGAUUAAUUACACAGCCUGAAGGCUAAAACAGACUCCCAGAUGGAACAUGAGUAAAAAGUAUGCAUAACACAGACUUUUUACUCAUUUUACAUUUAAAGAAAAUAAAAGAACUUCUAUUUUGCAAAACUUUUUAGUGUAAUUUACUAUUUAUCCCUAGACAAUGCUAUUAUUAACAAUUCCGUCCCUCUAUUUUAGAAAAUAGAUUAAAACAACCCUAAGGUUUGGUUUCAUUUACAAAAUGGUCCCUCCGUCCAUGUUUAGUCCAUUUAACCGUUAGUCAUGGACGAAAAGUCUAAAAUAACAUCAAUAUUAAUAAGGGGUUAAAUUACUAUUUUAUCAUGAGUUGUCAUUAUCAACAUUUUCUUCCCACUAUUUUGGAAAAUAAAUUAAAACAUCCCUAAAGUUUGGUCUCCUUGUCCAUUUUUAGCCCAUUUAACCAGUAUGGUGCAUCAUUUCAUCUAAUUUUAGACAUAAAAAUCAAAUAGAAAGAUUCCAUUAUUAAUUAGAAGAUUUGAUUGUUGACUGUGAUUACUGAUUUGAGGGAGGAGCAUGGUUUCAAAUAUUAUUUACAGGCUUUGAGGGGUGCCGUUACCCAUGAAGGGUUAGUUUGGGUAGGAUUAGUAGAUUACUCUCCUUUUCUUUGUUGUUUUGCAUAUUUGUUGAAGAAAACUAAUGUUGAUGUUAGAUUUGUUGACAAAGUUAGUAGUUUGAAGGAUUGGUUUACCCGGUCUAUAGGUUUAUGUGUUUUUUUUCUAAUUUGAAUUAUUU